UGGGGAAUUUUGGACAAUGGGGGCAACCCUGAUCCAGCCAUCCCGCGUGUGCGAUGAAGGCCUUCGGGUUGUAAAGCACUUUUGGCAGGAAAGAAACAGCCUGGGAUAAUACCCCGGGCGACUGACGGUACCUGCAGAAUAAGCACCGGCUAACUACGUGCCAGCAGCCGCGGUAAUACGUAGGGUGCAAGCGUUAAUCGGAAUUACUGGGCGUAAAGCGUGCGCAGGCGGUUCGGAAAGAAAGGUGUGAAAUCCCAGGGCUUAACCUUGGAACUGCACUUUUAACUACCGAGCUAGAGUACGUCGGAGGGGGGUAGAAUUCCACGUGUAGCAGUGAAAUGCGUAGAGAUGUGGAGGAAUACGAUGGCGAAGGCAGCCCCCUGGGAUGAUACUGACGCUCAUGCACGAAAGCGUGGGGAGCAAACAGGAUUAGAUACCCUGGUAGUCCACGCCCUAAACGAUGUCAACUAGCUGUUGGGGUUUAUUAACCUUAGUAGCGCAGCUAACGCGUGAAGUUGACCGCCUGGGGAGUACGGUCGCAAGAUUAAAACUUAAA
rnacentral:rRNA from 1 species